rnacentral:lncRNA from 1 species
AUGUAAGCUAAAAUUUGCGUCCGUGUCCCCCAAAACAUUACUUAACUGUGUGCAUGCCUCCUAAGAUAUCGACGUAAAAGCACUUUUUUCCAAAUAUAAAAUUGGCAGCACCAGGCAUCAAUGCACAUAAAUACAGUUUCCUGGGCAUGCACAUAAAUACAGUUUCAUGGGCAUGCACAUAGGAACCAACUUUGGGAAGAAAUUAUGCAGUUUUGCAUAUUUGCAGGAGAUUUAUAUGCAAAAGAGCUGAAAAGAACUACAAGUAGCUAGCAAAGAUGUUACAUGUAUUUCAGGACAUA